rnacentral:misc_RNA from 1 species
GAACAUAGGAAAUCAAGAACUUGAAAAAUACCAGCAAAGUCAUAGUUACAAUUGCAUGAAAGUUGUCCUUCAAUUACACAAAAACAUAUUCAAGUUUCACUAAGGAAAUCUAGAUCCUAGCUAGAACCAUCUUGGAGAUGUUGCCCAAGAUUCAAUUGUUGCUUCCAUGGUUUUUAAAUUCUGAGUACCGAAUGACAUCUGCUUCAACAUCCAUGGAAGCAACAAAUUUAUCUAGGCCAACAGGUCCCUUGAAAACAUCCAUCAUCAAGCAAGCAUAACAUCAACACACUUCACAACAAGUAGAUAGAGACCAGAGCACAAAAACUAUUUGAGCCAUUUCUACCACACACAACUAAACCAGUCUUUAACAACCCCAAAAAGACUCAUAUUUUGAGCUUGGUAGACUUCCAUGCACUACACGAACCAGAAACAGGAGAAGCCGAUAAAGCAAUGAAACCGACUCUGCGCUGCUGAAGAAAAUGCUGGUAAAACCAGACAGCUUCAAUCAGAAACUGGGACGGCACAAAAAGUGGUAAGCCAUGUCAUUCCUGGGAGGCUUUGCCCAAUUAUGUAUCUUACUAUCUUCAUAAUCGAUCAAUCCAACCUAGAAUACUAUCCUGAGAACUAAACUGCAGAUCCUGAGAACUGAACUGCAGAUCAGCAAGCUGUAAAUCUGGUGGAGUGUCCAGAUCCAGGUUCUCGAGGUCAGCAAUUCCACAAGGUGCAUUAUUGUUAUUCUUAUUAUUAUCAUUAUUUCCAGUCACUUGAUUUGUACUGUGAGCAAUGCCACUGUAUGAGACGUUAUUUAGUGCUGAACCAUUAAGGAAAAGCGAAGAAGAAUCAAAAAUUUCUUCGCACAACAAAGAAUCAUUGAUGCCACUAAAAUCAGGGUUUUCCACAGCCUGAGAUUCGCCAGCCAACCAUGCAUGGCAUCCCACAUCAUCCUCAGGAUGAACGCUAGGUGCAGGGACAUCGGGUGCUCCUUUAAUAAUGUCUUCUUCCCGGACAGAGAACUGAAAUACCAUUUCAUCAGCAGCAUCAUCAAAUGUAUCAGAUUUCUUAUGCCGUGGUGGAUUGGGAGGAUUUGUAAUGGGGGUCCUUGGACUAGCAUGAAGUGCCAAAAUAUCAGAAUCUUCAACAGUAAGACCAUCAUCAUUCAUGUCAGUUUGCUUCGGCUGUUGGUAGAAAAUUUUGGAAACCACAUAUUCACCGUCUUUUUCAUCUUCAUCAGUGCCCAGAUGAUAUUGAUGCAUUACCCAAUUGGAUUUAUCAGGCUUGGACCCCUUCUUUGCGCUUUUAUAAAGAACCAUGAUUUUCUUGCAGCCUUUCUGUACUCCAUUUUCCAUCACAGAUUUAGUCUUGCCUGUCUUGUGCCAGCGGACAUGAUCCUCAUUUGAACCUUGCCCAUUGUGGACCUUGCGACGCUUCCUUUGACCAGUAGCAUAAGCAUUGAUCGUUCUGUGAAAAAAAUGGACACUGCUUCCAUCUUUCUUAGCACCAGGAAGGUUUUCAGGGUGGGUAUAGCAAAUCCCUUUGUCGUCAACCAAUGUAGGAAUGAAUUCAUCUAUGAAUGCUUGCGGUUUUGAGUCUCCAACACCACAUUUAGCAGCUAAAUGUUCUAAAAUCUGUGCAUCUGAUGGAUCAAACUUUACACCAGCAGGAAGACCAGGCCAAUCAUGAGAAACAUCACUGUUAUCUAUGAAAUGAUGGCAAUUUGGGCAUUCACAAUUCGCUCCAUAGUCUUUGAUUUGAUAAGCAGAAGCUCGAGCGGGAUUUCUCACUUUCCUUGCAAUUGUUCGACUGUCGAUAAGCCAAGCCCUCGCCAUGUCUAAACAGAGACAAGCAGAGACUCGGAACUGUGCGUCUUAAGCUUUAUAAAACUCACUCCCCCUUCUCCACUGUCUAUUGCCUUGUCUCUGUCUUUGUAGUGUUGAGCGGGAAAUUAGGCGUGGCGGUGGAGGUUCGAGGCCAAGCAUCUUUACAUCGAAGUCAGCCACGUAGGAUAAAUGUGGGUCUAAGGCUGACUGAACGUAGACCCGAGGCUCAGAAGCCGUAGGUUAGGAUACGAAGCUGAGCUGAGUGCGCCUCGUGUCGAAUACUGUUGAUGGCUGAAGUGGCCUAGGGAAGCGAGCAGAGGGGUGAAAAUUGUAAAUAAAGGAAAAAUUGACUUGGCUAGCAAGGAAACUUGUGCGCCUGUUCCUGGGAUUUGAAA